rnacentral:lncRNA from 1 species
GAAAUCCAAAAAUAAAAAUAAAAUUUACAGUUUGUGAAUUUUGAUAUAUCAGCUGCCUUUAGUUACAGUGAUCUUUUCAAAGCUGCCUUAAUUUACCGAUUUUGUUUAGGGUACAAUCUAUAUUAUUUUUCAAAUUCUGAAGUAUUUUAUUAUUUAUCGACUGUUCCUAACGUAAGUAGCAAAAGACUUGAUAGUUAGUAUCUGAUAUUCCAAAUUUAAAUCAUAAUUGAUUUAUAUUUUUAAUUAAAUUUAUUUUUUUAAAAAUAAACGAAAUGUGUAACAUAUUAUUUUAAAAAAAAAAACUAAAAUAAAACAGUAAUUUUUCACAAUGUUUAACUCCGUGGAUUCCAGCUAUCAGGUGGUGGCAUCACCUACUGUUUUUUGAUGCAACAAAGCAACAGCUGUUGUCAUGAUAAAAGUGCUUCGAGCUUCUUCCAGCUUCUUUUGGAUUGGAUUUUUUUUUUUAAAAGGGCAAUUGUUUAUAUAUUUGUUAAAAGUUUCUAACUUUUCGAUUUACGUCUCUUAAAAGAUUAAUAUUAAAAAUAUCCCUUCUAUAUUUCAACCUAUUUUUAAUAUAUUUCUAGAAUUAAAAUUUGUUAAGUAAUUCUGUUAUUUCUGUAAAAUUAUUAUUUUGCCCUUUCAAAUAUACCCUUCCACCAUCACUUUCUUUCUUAUUUGCCUUUAAAGUCAGGGGUAUAAAAAGUAUUUUGACAUUUGGUCUUUUCCAAUAUACCCCCUCUACCGUCACCAACCUUUCUUAUUUGCCCUUAAGUUAAAGACAAAAUUGGCAUUUUAAUUUUUUUAAUUGUGGUAGAUAUUUAACUCACAUUUAAUCCAGGUUAACUUAACAGGAGAUAACUGCGGGGGUAUUUUGCAAUAACGGUGGAACAUAUGAGGGAUAUUUUAGAAAGAAAAAAAAGUAAGAGUAAAUCGGAUAUUUCCAAACGUACGAGGGUAUAUAGACAAUUAUCCCUUUUUUUAAAUAGUUUUUUUUAAAAAUAAAUUGAUUAUGGAUUUUAGUGAAAUAUCAUAUGUUCAAUAUUGACUCAUUAAUAAUAUUUUUAAAAUUUUAAAAUAUU